rnacentral:rRNA from 1 species
GCUGACCAAACAACAAACCACAAAUAUACCCUACCGAAUUAAACAAAUCAUUUGACCAGCCCAGUAGAUGCGAUCGAACAGUCACAAGUCACAACAAAGUACCGUAAGGGAACCACCAUCAAGCAACAAACAGCAAAGACUAAUCCUUGUACCUUUUGCAUCAUGGUUUAGCAAGACCACAGGACAAGAAGAAUCACAGCCCACCACCCCGAAACCGAACGAGCUAUUUUU